rnacentral:rRNA from 1 species
AGUCAGAGCCCGUUAACGGGUGAUGGCGUGCCUUUUGUAGAAUGAACCGGCGAGUUACGAUCCCGUGCGAGGUUAAGCUGAAGAGGCGGAGCCGCAGCGAAAGCGAGUCUGAAUAGGGCGUUUAGUACGUGGUCGUAGACCCGAAACCAGGUGAUCUACCCAUGUCCAGGGUGAAGUUCAGGUAACACUGAAUGGAGGCCCGAACCCACGCACGUUGAAAAGUGCGGGGAUGAGGUGUGGGUAGCGGAGAAAUUCCAAUCGAACCUGGAGAUAGCUGGUUCUCCCCGAAAUAGCUUUAGGGCUAGCCUUAAGUGUAAGAGUCUUGGAGGUAGAGCACUGAUUGGACUAGGGGUCCUCAUCGGAUUACCGAAUUCAGUCAAACUCCGAAUGCCAAUGACUUAUCCUUAGGAGACACACGGCGGGUGCUAACGUCCGUCGUGGAGAGGGAAACAACCCAGACCGCCAGCUAAGGUCCCAAAUUACUACUAAGUGGGAAACGAUGUGGAGUUGCUUAGACAACUAGGAUGUUGGCUUAGAAGCAGCCACCAUUUAAAGAGUGCGUAAUAGCUCACUAGUCGAGUGACUCUGCGCCGAAAAUGUACCGGGGCUAAAUACACCACCGAAGCUGCGGAUUGAUACCAAUGGUAUCAGUGGUAGGGGAGCGUUCUAAGGACAGUGAAGUCAGACCGGAAGGACUGGUGGAGUCUUAGAAGUGAGAAUGCCGGUAUGAGUAGCGAAAGACGGGUGAGAAUCCCGUCCACCGAAUGCCUAAGGUUUCCUGAGGAAGGCUCGUCCGCUCAGGGUUAGUCAGGACCUAAGCCGAGGCCGACAGGCGUAGGCGAUGGACAACAGGUUGAUAUUCCUGUACCACCUCUUUAUCGUUUGAGCAAUGGAGGGACGCAGAAGGAUAGAAGAAGCGUGCGAUUGGUUGUGCACGUCCAAGCAGUUAGGCUGAUAAGUAGGCAAAUCCGCUUAUCGUAAAGGCUGAGCUGUGAUGGGGAAGCUCCUUAUGGAGCGAAGUCUUUGAUUCCCCGCUGCCAAGAAAAGCUUCUAGCGAGAUAAAAGGUGCCUGUACCGCAAACCGACACAGGUAGGCGAGGAGAGAAUCCUAAGGUGUGCGAGAGAACUCUGGUUAAGGAACUCGGCAAAAUGACCCCGUAACUUCGGGAGAAGGGGUGCUUUCUUAACGGAAAGCCGCAGUGAAUAGGCCCAAGCGACUGUUUAGCAAAAACACAGCUCUCUGCGAAGCCGUAAGGCGAAGUAUAGGGG